GGGGGGGGGGGGGGGGGGGCCGAGGGGGGGGGGGGCGGGCGAACGGACGAGGGGCUGGCUCCUCUUACGUUGGCGGCGGACGGGUGAGGAACACGUGGAUAACCUACCUAUGAGACGGGGAUCACUUCGGGAGACCGGCGCUACUACCGGAUAAUAUAUUGAACCGCAUGGGUCACUAGUUAAAGACGGUUUUGCUGUCUCUUAUAGAUGGAUCCGCUCCUCCUUACCUAGGUGGUAAGGUAACGGCUUACCAAGGCAACGAUGCGUAGCCGACCUGAGAGGGUGAUCGGACACACUGGACCUGAGACACGGUCCAGACUCCUACGGGAGGCAGCAGUAGGGAAUCUUCCGCAAUGGGCGAAAGCUUGACGGAGCAACGCCGCGUGAGUGAUGAAGGUCUUCGGAUCGUAAAACUCUGUUAUUAGGGAAGAACAAAUGUGUAAGUAACUAUGCACGUCUUGACGGUACCUAAUCAGAAAGCCACGGCUAACUACGUG
rnacentral:rRNA from 1 species